CCUACGGGAGGCAGCAGUGGGGAAUCUUGCGCAAUGGGCGAAAGCCUGACGCAGCCAUGCCGCGUGAAUGAUGAAGGUCUUAGGAUUGUAAAAUUCUUUCAGUAGGGACGAUAAUGACGGUACCUACAGAAGAAGCCCCGGCUAACUUCGUGCCAGCAGCCGCGGUAAUACGAAGGGGGCUAGCGUUGCUCGGAAUUACUGGGCGUAAAGGGAGCGUAGGCGGACAUUUAAGUCAGGGGUGAAAUCCCAGAGCUCAACUCUGGAACUGCCUUUGAUACUGGGUGUCUUGAGUGUGAGAGAGGUAUGUGGAACUCCGAGUGUAGAGGUGAAAUUCGUAGAUAUUCGGAAGAACACCAGUGGCGAAGGCGACAUACUGGCUCAUUACUGACGCUGAGGCUCGAAAGCGUGGGGAGCAAACAGGAUUAGAUACCCUGGUAGUCCACGCCGUAAACGAUGAUUGCUAGUUGUCGGGAAGUUUACUUCUCGGUGACGCAGCUAACGCAUUAAGCAAUCCGCCUGGGGAGUACGGUCGCAAGNUUAAAGCUCAAAGGAAUUGACGGCGNGAGAGNGCGAGACGACGACGAGGGAGAGG
rnacentral:rRNA from 1 species